GCCCCGGUAGCUCAGUGGAUAGAGCGUCUGCCUCCGGAGCAGAAGGUCGCAGGUUCGAAUCCUGUCCGGGGCACC
rnacentral:tRNA from 1 species